AGCGACAGACGAGGAGCUUGCUCCUCUGAYGUUAGCGGCGGACGGGUGAGUAACACGUGGAUAACCUACCUAUAAGACUGGGAUAACUUCGGGAAACCGGAGCUAAUACCGGAUAACAUGUUGAACCGCAUGGUUCAACAGUGAAAGACGGUYUUGCUGUCACUUAUAGAUGGAUCCGCGCCGCAUUAGCUAGUUGGUAAGGUAACGGCUUACCAAGGCAACGAUGCGUAGCCGACCUGAGAGGGUGAUCGGCCACACUGGAACUGAGACACGGUCCAGACUCCUACGGGAGGCAGCAGUAGGGAAUCUUCCGCAAUGGGCGAAAGCCUGACGGAGCAACGCCGCGUGAGUGAAGAAGGUCUUCGGAUCGUAAAACUCUGUUAUUAGGGAAGAACAAAUGUGUAAGUAACUAUGCACGUCUUGACGGUACCUAAUCAGAAAGCCACGGCUAACUACGUGCCAGCAGCCGCGGUAAUACGUAGGUGGCAAGCGUUAUCCGGAAUUAUUGGGCGUAAAGCGCGCGUAGGCGGUUUUUUAAGUCUGAUGUGAAAGCCCACGGCUCAACCGUGGAGGGUCAUUGGAAACUGGAAAACUUGAGUGCAGAAGAGGAAAGUGGAAUUCCAUGUGUAGCGGUGAAAUGCGCAGAGAUAUGGAGGAACACCAGUGGCGAAGGCGACUUUCUGGUCUGUAACUGACGCUGAUGUGCGAAAGCGUGGGGAUCAAACAGGAUUAGAUACCCUGGUAGUCCACGCCGUAAACGAUGAGUGCUAAGUGUUAGGGGUUUCCGCCCCUUAGUGCUGCAGCUAACGCAUUAAGCACUCCGCCUGGGGAGUACGACCGCAGGGUUGAAACUCAAAGGAAUUGACGGGACCCG
rnacentral:rRNA from 1 species